rnacentral:rRNA from 1 species
UACGGAGGAUGCGAGCGUUAUCCGGAUUUAUUGGAUUUAAAGGGUGCGUAGGCGGACGCUUAAGUCAGCGGUAAAAUUGCGGGGCUCAACCUCGUCGAGCCGUUGAAACUGGGUGCCUUGAGUGGGCGAGAAGUACGCGGAAUGCGUGGUGUAGCGGUGAAAUGCAUAGAUAUCACGCAGAACUCCGAUUGCGAAGGCAGCGUACCGGCGCCCUACUGACGCUGAAGCACGAAGGCGUGGGUAUCGAACAGG